UUGCAGUCGAGCGAGAAGUUCCUUCGGGAAUGAUUAAAGCGGCGGACGGGGGCGUACAACAUGGAUAACCUACCUUAAGGUCCGGGAUAACCUCGGGAAACCGAAGCUAAUACCGGAUAAGACCACAUUAUCUGCGGAUAAAGGGGUAAAAGUUUUUCGCCUUUUGAUGGGUCCAUGCUCCAUCAGGUUUUUGGGGAGGUAAAAGCUCACCAAGCCGAAGACGGAUAGCCGGCCUUAGCGGGGGAUCGGCCACACGGGGACUGAGACACGGCCCCGACUCCUACGGGAGGCAGCAGUGGGGAAUAUUGGGCAAUGGGCGAAAGCCUGACCCAGCCAUGCCGCGUGAAGGAUGAAGGCCUUUGGGUCGUAAACUUUUUUCAGGAGGGACGAGGGGACUUCGGUCUUGACGGUACCUCCAGAGGAAGCCCCGGCUAACUCCGUGCCAGCAGCCGCGGUAAUACGGAGGGGGCAAGCGUUGCUCGGAUUUACUGGGCGUAAAGGGUCCGCAGGCGGUUGAGUAAGUUAGAUGUGAAAGCUCAAGGCUUAACCUUGAAAAUGCAUCUAAAACUGCUCGACUAGAGUCCAAGAGGGGUCGGCGGAAUUCCCGGGGUAGCGGGGAAAUGCGUAGAUAUCGGGAGGAACACCAGUGGCGAAC
rnacentral:rRNA from 1 species